GACAGAGGGGGCAAGCGUUGCUCGGAAUUACUGGGCGUAAAGGGCGCGUAGGCGGGAUGGCAAGUCGGUCGUGAAAUCCUUCGGCUCAACCGAAGAACGUCGAUCGAUACUGCUGUUCUAGAGGAUUGCAGAGGAGACUGAAAUUCCCGGUGUAGCGGUGAAAUGUGUAGAGAUCGGGAGGAACACCGGUGGCGAAGGCGGGUCUCUGGGCAAUUCCUGACGCUGAGGCGCGAAAGCGUGGGGAGCAAACGGG
rnacentral:rRNA from 1 species